ACCAGGCGGAGACGGCGGUUGCUCCCGCUGGACGCAUUCACCUGACGAUUGCGCGCUACAUGUUGUCAGCC
rnacentral:sRNA from 1 species